AUAAUUAUGACUGAAGCUGUGGUAACGUGGGCAUUUCGAAGUCAAAUAGUUUCUAAGUUUCUUUCCACAGAUUACGAGUAGCCUGUUGUGAGAUAAAUAAACGUAUGUCUUAUGCAUAGCUCGCGUUGUAUCGGAACGAGAAUUCUAGCCGCACUGUGUCAGGGCGAAGGUUAUUAUCAAUGUCGCUGUGUCUUGGGGUCAUUUGUCAUUGUCAGACUCUCUGGAGGGCAGAGGACAGGCGUCCAGCAAUAUUGAGAUGGCGGUCGGCCCAAAGGGGUUCUCGACGGGAAUGACGUUUGCCAUCGAAGAAAUCAUCUGAAGCCAUCCUUCUUCUUUGUCAGCUAUGAGAUGCAGCUUUACGAGUGAUACAGGAGAGUCUUCGUCACUGUUCACAUAGAAUGGACUAUAUGAAAUUGAUAAUUAUACCCAUCCCCAUUUAAGAUGAAUUGCUGGCAAUUAAA